rnacentral:rRNA from 1 species
UGGGGAAUUGUUCGCAAUGGGCGCAAGCCUGACGACGCAACGCCGCGUGGAGGACGAAGAUCUUCGGGUCGUAAACUCCUGUCGAGCGGGAAGAACGCUUCCCGGGUGAAUAAUCCGGGGAGGUGACGGUACCGCUAAAGGAAGCCCCGGCUAACUCCGUGCCAGCAGCCGCGGUAAUACGGGGGGGGCAAGCGUUGUUCGGAAUUACUGGGCGUAAAGGGCUCGUAGGCGGCCAACUAAGUCGGAUGUGAAAUCCCCAGGCUUAACCUGGGAACUGCAUCUGAUACUGGAUGGCUUGAAUCCGGGAGAGGGAUGCAGAAUUCCAGGUGUAGCGGUGAAAUGCGUAGAUAUCUGGAGGAAUACCGGUGGCGAAGGCGGCAUCCUGGACCGGCAUUGACGCUGAUGAGCGAAAGCUAGGGGAGCAAACGG